GACGAACGCUGGCGGCGUGCUUAACACAUGCAAGUCGAGCGAUGAAGCACCUUCGGGUGUGAAUUAGCGGCGAACGGGUGAGGAACACGUGAAGAAUCUGCCUUCAACUCUGGGAUAACUCCGGGAAACCGGGGCUAAUACCGGAUAUGAGCCUUGAUCGCAUGAUCGGGGCUGGAAAGUUUUUCGGUUGAAGAUGACUUCGCGGCCUAUCAGCUUGUUGGUGAGGUAAGGGCUCACCAAGGCGACGACGGGUAGCCGGCCUGCGAGGGCGACCGGCCACACUGGGACUGAGACACGGCCCAGACUCCUACGGGAGGCAGCAGUGGGGAAUAUUGGGCAAUGGAGGAAACUCUGACCCAGCGACGCCGCGUGAGGGAUGAAGGCCUUCGGGUUGUAAACCUCUUUCAGUAGGGAAGAAGCGAAAGUGACGGUACCUACAGAAGAAGCACCGGCUAACUAUGUGCCAGCCGCCGCUGUAA
rnacentral:rRNA from 1 species